rnacentral:rRNA from 1 species
UACGUAGGUGGCAAGCGUUGUCCGGAAUUACUGGGCGUAAAGGGCUCGUAGGCGGCCAACUAAGUCGGACGUGAAAUCCCCAGGCUCAACCUGGGAACUGCGUCCGAUACUGGAUGGCUUGAAUUCGGGAGAGGGAUGCAGAAUUCCAGGUGUAGCGGUGAAAUGCGUAGAUAUCUGGAGGAAUACCGGUGGCGAAGGCGGCAUCCUGGACCGACAUUGACGCUGAGGAGCGAAAGCUAGGGGAGCAAACGGG